rnacentral:misc_RNA from 1 species
UCGUGCUCGACAUCAGCUCUCACAAACAGAUACACACACAAACACAAUCACGUACAUAAAACAACCCCCCCCCAACGCAGUCGUUUCCCCACGAUAGCCGUUUUUUUUGACGACUCUCAUCUUCAACGUCGUUUUCCUCUCCCUUCCCUCCUUCCCCCUCUCCCUUUUUCGUUUACUUCAUUCUUUCACCACCGCUUCCACCGCUGGCGCUGCGUCCGUGUGUCCGUGUGUCUUGAACAAAAACUGCAUCUUUCUCUUUAAAAACGCCAUCGUCAUUACCGAAGGCGCCACCACCGAAUUGCACACCGAGGUCUUUUCGACGCAACUCGCGAGUCCGUGCGGGCUAAUGUGUGUCUGAACGGUACACUGUACACCCACACCCGACCACACAACCAGGCACAGAUACACAGGGGUAUAUAAAAAAGUAUGUGAUGUUGCUUGUGCGUGCGGGUGCCUGGUGACUGUCUUGGCUCCACAAUCGGCUUUUGCUUCUUUAGUCCCUCCUUCUCAUUCCCCGUGUAGCGCCGCGUGUGUGUGUGUGAGCGCGGUGCGGGCGCGCUGAUGCGAGGGCCCUUGGUAUAUUUGCUUGCGGUUUUUUUUUUGUGUGCUUCUCUCUUCCUCUUUCACAUCUGUACCGGCCGACUUUGUGUGCGUCUGUGCGCGUGCCGCUCUCGUUCUCUCUUGUUAUUGAUUUGAUCUCCGUGGUGCUUACUCUGGCCACCGUUCUAUCCCUCUCUCCCUUCCUCAUUUUCACGCUCUCUCUUUCUCUCUUCAUCGUAGCAUUUCUCGGCGUUGCGUCGUCUCUCCCCUGCUUCUCGUUCUCACUACCAUCGACUGGGUGUCUUGUGUACACUCGGCCAAACCACACAGGGGGAGGAGGCCAAACUCACUGCUAUCGCGUUUUGCAUAAUACAUCUAUCUUUAUAUGCAUCGAGCCCCUUUUUUUUUCUUGUUCGGUUCGCCUUCUCCUCCUCCCGAUAUUUCACUAGCGCCUGACCGCGCGUGUGACAGAGAGCUUUAAGCGCACCGCUUCUUUCCCUCGUUCUCGUUCCUCCAGCCAACCUGUACGCCAUCCUCUCACCAGCCUUCCGUGCUUCACGAUCUGUGUCUUCCUGUCUGCCUCCGGGUUUCUGGCGAGCUGGACUUUCCCUUCGGAAAGGUGGCGCAGCUGGCGAUAACAUGAUUCGCGGUGCUUCCAUGAUCCUGCGGGCGGCCCCCGCCUCCACGCACUGUCGCCGAAGCUCGUCUCUGCCCGGCAACGCGUCUCUCAGAGACCAUGAUCCUGAGGUGCACCAGCUUAUUCACAGAGAGAUGCGCCGGCAGAUAGAAGGGCUAGAGCUGAUUGCGUCGGAGAACUUUACCUCCCGCGCGGUGCUUGACUGCCUCGGGUCCGUCCUCACGAACAAGUACGCAGAGGGUCUGCCUGGGAACCGCUACUACGGCGGCACGGAGGUCGUCGACGAGCUCGAGAAACUAUGCGUGCGGCGCGCACUCGCAGCAUUCUGCUUGGAUGCGGCCGUAUGGGGCGUCAGCGUGCAGCCGUACAGCGGCUCACCUGCCAACCUGGCCGUCUACACCGCCCUGUUGCGCCCGCAUGACCGCAUGAUGGGUCUCUCACUGCAGGCGGGCGGCCACCUCACACACGGCUUCUACACCGCAACGAAGCGUCUCUCGGCCUCCUCGAUCUUCUUCGAGAGCCUCCCGUACUCCAUCACGCCGAAGGGCCUCGUCGACUACGAUCAGCUAGCGUACCUGGCGGAUAUCUACAAACCACGGCUUAUCAUUGCCGGCGGCUCCGCCUACCCGCGCGACUGGGACUACAAGCGCUACCGCCAAAUCUGCGACAGCGUUGGUGCCUACUUCAUGGUGGACAUGUCCCACUUUUCUGGCCUGGUUGCCGCCCGGGAGCACAACGACCCGUUUGAGUACGCCGAUGUAGUGACCACCACCACCCACAAGACGCUGCGCGGGCCUCGGUCUGGCAUGAUCUUCUUCAAGAAGUCGAUAAAGCAGGGCAAGGAGAACGUGCACCUGGAGGAUUCUAUCAGCAGCGCCGUCUUCCCCGCGCUGCAGGGUGGCCCACACCUACACCAGAUCGCCGGCAUCGCCACGCAGCUGAAGGAGGUGGCAUCGCCGGAGUGGCGCACCUACAUAAAGCAGGUGAAGGCGAACGCCAAGGCCCUGGCCGCCACCCUCACGGAGGGUGGGGAGACGCUCGUCAGCGACGGCACCGACAACCACCUUCUUCUGUGGAACCUCCGCCCGCACGGCCUCACAGGCUCCAAGUUGGAGAAGCUGCUCGACAUGGUCAACAUCACGGUGAACAAGAACACCAUCUUUGGCGACAAAAGCGCUCAGGCGCCGUACGGCAUACGUCUUGGCACGCCAGCACUCACCACCCGCGCCCUCCAGGAGGAGGACUUCAGGCGGGUCGGCCAGUUCCUCAUUCGCUCGGUUCAACUCUCCAAGGAGGUGCAGAAGUCCGCCGGCUCUACGAAGCUCGCCGACUUCGUGAAGGCCGCCGAGACCUCGAAGGCGUUGCAGGAGAUGGCCGAGGAGGUGAAGGCGUAUGCGCGUCAGUUCCCGUACCCCGGCCUGGAGAGCGCCUAUCCCAUUCAGUAGCGCGCCUCGAGCACGGAGGCGGCGUUCGAGCUGCGAGAGGGAAGGACGAUGCACGAAGAGACUCCAGUAAGAAGGCUUGAUGGCAGGUGUGCGCGUGUGGGGGAGGCGCUGCAUGCGUGUGCCGCGCGACAGAGGCUUUGUGUGACUGUGCGUCUCUUCUGUGUGUGGCGGGAAGCGCGGCCAGUAGGGCCAAGGCUCGCCCUCGAGCCGAGCUACGGUGUACAGUUCAGCUACAGGGAGUCGAACGCCCAACGGCCGACAGAGACGGCAGUGCAAGGAAAGCGAAGGGGAGGAGGAGUAGGAAGGGGUGUACGCGCGUGCGGAUGGCGUUUCGAGCGAGAGUGUUGCGUUCCCCUCCCCACCCCUCUUUUCCCACCAGCACGCCUUUCUAGGACGUCCCGCACUGCUUCUUCCGAAUACUUCUCCUGCUUCGAGGCGCCCGUGUGCGUCCGUUGUACGUGCACGGGGCCGCACCUGGGCGCUGCGGGCGAGGGGAAGGGGCUGGGACGUAAAGCACGAGGGUGCCUGCUGAUGCGCCGGCGCUCACCCCCCACCCGUCCUGUCUGCCCCUCCCUCUCUCAUCCGCUCGACCGAGCACGGCAGCGCUGGCGCCGCUUUGCUCUUUGCGCCCCGCCGUCCGGUGCUGCCAGCCCCACCACUUAUCGCAUUCAUCGCUUUCGUGUGUUUCACCUCUCCUCCUCCCCCCUCGUCCUGCAG